CAGCAGCCGCGGGAAAACAGAGGGUGCGAGCGUUAAUCGGAUUUACUGGGCGUAAAGCGUGCGUAGGCGGCUUCUUAAGUCGGAUGUGAAAUCCCUGAGCUUAACUUAGGAAUUGCAUUCGAUACUGGGAAGCUAGAGUAUGGGAGAGGAUGGUAGAAUUCCAGGUGUAGCGGUGAAAUGCGUAGAGAUCUGGAGGAAUACCGAUGGCGAAGGCAGCCAUCUGGCCUAAUACUGACGCUGAGGUACGAAAGCAUGGGGAGCAAACAGGAUUAGAGACCCCAGUAGUCCCUGUCUCUUAUAC
rnacentral:rRNA from 1 species